GCCUACGGGGCGCAGCAGUAGGGAAUAUUGCUCAAUGGGGGAAACCCUGAAGCAGCAACGCCGCGUGGAGGAUGAAGGUUUUCGGAUUGUAAACUCCUUUUGUUAGAGAAGAUAAUGACGGUAUCUAACGAAUAAGCACCGGCUAACUCCGUGCCAGCAGCCGCGGUAAUACGGAGGGUGCAAGCGUUACUCGGAAUCACUGGGCGUAAAGAGCGCGUAGGCGGGAUAGCAAGUCAGAUGUGAAAUCCUAUGGCUUAACCAUAGAACUGCAUUUGAAACUGUUAUCCUAGAGUAUGGGAGAGGUA
rnacentral:rRNA from 1 species